GAUGAACGCUGGCGGCGUGCCUAAUACAUGCAAGUCGAGCGAACAGACGAGGAGCUUGCUCCUCUGACGUUAGCGGCGGACGGGUGAGUAACACGUGGAUAACCUACCUAUAAGACUGGGAUAACUUCGGGAAACCGGAGCUAAUACCGGAUAAUAUAUUGAACCGCAUGGUUCAAUAGUGAAAGACGGUUUUGCUGUCACUUAUAGAUGGAUCCGCGCCGCAUUAGCUAGUUGGUAAGGUAACGGCUUACCAAGGCAACGAUGCGUAGCCGACCUGAGAGGGUGAUCGGCCACACUGGAACUGAGACACGGUCCAGACUCCUAAGGGAGGCAGCAGUAGGGAAUCUUCCGCAAUGGGCGAAAGCCUGACGGAGCAACGCCGCGUAAGUGAUGAAGGUCUUCGGAUCGUAAAACUCUGUUAUUAGGGAAGAACAAAUGUGUAAGUAACUAUGCACGUCUUGACGGUACCUAAUCAGAAAGCCACGGCUAACUACGUG
rnacentral:rRNA from 1 species